AAAAAGACCGGUCUAAGUUCGGAUUGCAGGCUGCAACCCGCCUGCAUGAAGUCGGAAUCGCUAGUAAUCGCGAGUCAGCAUAUCGCGGUGAAUACGUUCCCGGGUCUUGUACACACCGCCCGUCACACCAUGGGAGUUGGCAACACCCGAAGUCGAUGAGCUAACCGCAAGGAGGCAGUCGCCUAAGGUGGGGUUGAUAACUGGGGUGAAGUCGUAACAAGGUAAC
rnacentral:rRNA from 1 species